AAUUUAACUCCGCCUAUGUUGUCUCAACAUAGCCGGUCCCAAGCCCGGAUAAAGGAGGAGGGGGUU
rnacentral:ribozyme from 2 species